rnacentral:rRNA from 1 species
UACGGGGGGAGGCAAGCGUUGUUCGGAUUUACUGGGCGUAAAGGGCGCGUAGGCGGUCAGCACAAGUCAGUUGUGAAAUCUCCGGGCUUAACUCGGAAAGGUCAACUGAUACUGUGCGACUAGAGUGCAGAAGGGGCAACUGGAAUUCUCGGUGUAGCGGUGAAAUGCGUAGAUAUCGAGAGGAACACCUGCGGCGAAGGCGGGUGCUGGCUGACACUGACGCUGAUGCGCGAAGCUAGGGAGC